GCUGCGUUCGUCUAGUGGUUCAGGACAGUGGAUUGUGAUUCAUCUCGCAGAACUCCAAUAACGUGGGUUCGAAUCCCGUACGCAGCA